rnacentral:sRNA from 1 species
UGUUUGAGGAUGAUACGGAGUUGCAAAU